rnacentral:rRNA from 1 species
UACGGGGGGAGCAAGCGUUGUUCGGAUUUACUGGGCGUAAAGGGCGCGUAGGCGGUCAGCACAAGUCAGUUGUGAAAUCUCCGGGCUUAACUCGGAACGGUCAGCGGAUACUGCUUUGCUAGAGUGCAGAAGGGGCAAUCGGAAUUCUUGGUGUAGCGGUGAAAUGCGUAGAUAUCAAGAGGAACACCUGAGGUGAAGACGGGUUGCUGGGCUGACACUGACGCUGAGGCGCGAAAGCUAGGGUAGCAAACGGG